GAUCAUGGCUCAGGAUGAACGCUAGCUACAGGCUUAACACAUGCAAGUCGAGGGGCAGCAUGAUUGAAGCUUGCUUUUGAUGGGCGUCGACCGGCGCACGGGUGAGUAACGCGUAUCCAACCUGCCCAUCACUUGGGAAUAACCUUGCGAAAGUAAGACUAAUACCCAAUGAUAUCCCACGAAGGCAUCCGAAUGGGAUUAAAGAUUUAUCGGUGAUGGAUGGGGAUGCG
rnacentral:rRNA from 1 species